CCUACGGGAGGCAGCAGUGGGGAAUAUUGGGCAAUGGGCGCAAGCCUGACCCAGCAACGCCGCGUGAAGGAAGAAGGCUCUCGGGUUGUAAACUUCUUUUGUCAGGGACGAAGCAAGUGACGGUACCUGACGAAUAAGCCACGGCUAACUACGUGCCAGCAGCCGCGGUAAUACGUAGGCGGCAAGCGUUAUCCGGAUUUACUGGGUGUAAAGGGCGUGUAGGCGGGACUGCAAGUCAGAUGGGAAAACCACAGGCUCAACCUGUGGCCUGCAUUUGAAACUGUAGUGCUUGAGUGCUGGAGAGGCAGGCGGAAUGCCUGGUGUAGCGGUGAAAUGCGUAGAUAUUA
rnacentral:rRNA from 1 species